rnacentral:lncRNA from 1 species
UUAAAACAAAAAUCCCCAAUCUAAACCUAAUCCCCUCCACCCCGACGAACUCUCCCCCUCUUUCUCUCUUCCUCUUUUGGUUUCGACAACAAAUACUGAAUCUCCCGCCACCACCCCUAACAACGGCUCCUCUUCUCUGAUGUAGUGUAUUCUCUGGUUUCCCUCUCAUGGUGUGCUCUUCAUCUCUUCUUCUUCGAUUUUUUUUUUUUGUGUUCUAAUCUGGUGUUUAAUUUCAUGUGUGGGAAAAACUCUUCAUCUCCGGCGUGAAUCUCUUCUUCUCCUGUCAAAAUUGAAGGUAAGCCAUCUCUUCUAUUUGAUAUUUCGUUUUGUUCUUUUGAUUAACAAAAAUCCAAAAUUGUAUGAUAGUCUCAUUGUUCUUUGUUUUGUUUCAAAAUCCAAAAUUAUAUGAUAUUUGGGUUUUUACUUUUUCAGGCUUGACAAAACGAGGGUUUAUGUUGUUGGAGCUGUAUUCUUCACUGGUGUCACAGUAGCCUCUCUACCCUGUCUCUGUGGUCAAAACAAGGCUUUAAGUUGCAUCCAAAGAUAUCGUUGGGUCUGAAUAAGACAGUGAUAAAGAAAACAACGACGAGGAGAAGGAAGCUCAAGGCAGUGACACGGACUAUAGUGAAGAUGGAGAAGAAGCCAAUGGCAAGAAACAAAGCACUCGUGGCAGAGGACGUGGCCGUGGUCGCGGCGGCCGCUCUGGUAAUGGAAAAGUUUUGCCGGUGACAACCGGUGGGAGAAGAGGAAGACCAUGUAAAUCUUAGUAACUACUUUGACUUUGAUGUGGUUUCUUUUUAACAGUUUUGUUUCUUUUUCAAACAAUGAGAGGCUGAGAAACAUUUGCUUAAAGCUUGAUCCUCCAGAGUACUUUUUACCGGCUUUUGUAUUCUUAUGUAAUCCACAUCGAAUGAUUUAUUAAUCUAGAGAGCACAUUUCCGUUAA